rnacentral:rRNA from 1 species
UACGGAGGAUCCGAGCGUUAUCCGGAUUUAUUGGGUUUAAAGGGUGCGCAGGCGGGGGAUUAAGUCGGCGGUGAAAUUUUGCAGCUCAACUGUAAAAGUGCCUUCGAAACUGGUUUCCUUGAGUGUAGAUGAAGUAGGCGGAAUUUGUGGUGUAGCGGUAAAAUGCUUAGAUAUCACGAGGAACUCCGAUUGCGCAGGCAGCUUACUAAACUACUACUGACGCUCAGGCACGAAGGCGUGGGGAUCAAACAGGAUUAGAUACACUGGUAGUCCCU